GACGAACGCUGGCGGCGUGCUUAACACAUGCAAGUCGAACGGAAAGGCCCUGCUUUUGUGGGGUGCUCGAGUGGCGAACGGGUGAGUAACACGUGAGUAACCUGCCCUUGACUUUGGGAUAACUUCAGGAAACUGGGGCUAAUACCGGAUAGGAGCUCCUGCUGCAUGGUGGGGGUUGGAAAGUUUCGGCGGUUGGGGAUGGACUCGCGGCUUAUCAGCUUGUUGGUGGGGUAGUGGCUUACCAAGGCUUUGACGGGUAGCCGGCCUGAGAGGGUGACCGGCGACAGGGGUCCUAAGAGAGGGCCCAGUCGGGAAGGGGGGGCAGUGGGGGAAAAUAUGACAGAGGGGGGGGGAGUGUGAGGCGGAGGCCCCGGGGGCGGAAGGAUGGCUUAGGGGGGAAAAACAGUUUUCUCCGGAAAAGAGGCGGGAUUGACGGUAGGGAAUAAAAAAGCCCCGGCUAACUCCGUG
rnacentral:rRNA from 1 species